UACGUAGGGUGCAAGCGUUAAUCGGAAUUACUGGGCGUAAAGCGUGCGCAGGCGGUUUUGUAAGUCUGACGUGAAAUCCCCGGGCUCAACCUGGGAAUUGCGUUGGAGACUGCAAGGCUAGAAUCUGGCAGAGGGGGGUAGAAUUCCACGUGUAGCAGUGAAAUGCGUAGAGAUGUGGAGGAACACCGAUGGCGAAGGCAGCCCCCUGGGUCAAGAUUUACGCUCAUGCACGAAAGCGUGGGGAGCAAACAGG
rnacentral:rRNA from 1 species